AUUGAACGCUGGCGGCAUGCUUUACACAUGCAAGUCGAACAGCAGCGCGGGCUUCGGCCUGGAGGCGAGUGGCGAACGGGUGAGUAAUGCAUCGGAACGUGCCCAGGAGUUGGGGAUAGCCCGGCGAAAGCCGGAUUAAUACCGCAUACGACCUGAGGGUGAAAGCGGGGGACCGAAAGGCCUCGCGCCAUUGGAGCGGCCGAUGUCGGAUUAGCUAGUUGGUGGGGUAAAGGCUUACCAAGGCGACGAUCCGUAGCUGGUCUGAGAGGACGACCGGCCACACUGGGACUUAGACACGGCCCAGCCUCCUACGGGAGGCAGCAGUGCGGACUUUUGGCCCAUGGGGGCAACCCUGAUCCAGCCACGCCGCGUGCGGGAAGAAGGCCUUCGGGUUGUAAACCGCUUUUGUUCGGGAAGAAAUCCUCUCGGCUAAUCCCCCGGGGGGAUGACGGUCCCGGACGAAUAAGCACCGGCUAACUACGUG
rnacentral:rRNA from 1 species